rnacentral:tRNA from 1 species
AGCCUAUUAGUUCAAUACGGUAGAGCGUUGUGUGAAAUAUACACAAAGACGUUGGUUCAACUCCUACAUGGGCUA